rnacentral:rRNA from 1 species
GACAGAGGCCCCAAGCGUUAGGCGGAAUCACUGGGCUUAAAGCGUGUGUAGGCGGAUCGUUAAGUGUCUUGUGAAAUCCCACGGCUCAACCGUGGAACUGCUCGGUAUACUGGUCGUCUUGAGGCACUCAGGGGCGAGCGGAACAGAUGGUGGAGCGGUGAAAUGCGUAGAUAUCAUCUGGAACGCCAAUGGUGAAGACAGCUCGCUGGGGGUGUACUGACACUGAGACACGAAAGCCAGGGGAGCGAACGGG